UUAAGAACAAAAUGGGUUCAUGGGGUAAGGUCCGUUGAGGGGGUGUGAACCGAAAUGCUUUUCUUGGGCCUAAGCAAUCCAAUAUGCCAAACCGGAUCAUGACGUUUCACUGGCCUCAUAAACCAAUUUCCACGCAUCCUCAACAUUGUAUCCAUGCAAACGAAACAAAACGCGCAACACAUGAACCGACUUUCCAAUCAUAUAACCAUGAAAUCUUCUUACUAAGUAGCGCGCGAGACAUUCUAUCCAAACAUGGAGCUAUCAAAUGCGGUAUGAGGAAUCACUUCGAAUUUGCUUCAAUCUUGCGCGAGAAACCAAGAAUUCGACAAACACGAACGAAAGAAAUCAAACCCCGAAUUCGAAUUGAGUUCAAAUUCCUCACUAAAUCGAACUCAAACACCGAAACAAAAUUUAUUCUUACAUGCGAAGAGGAAAAAACGAAAGGGAGAAAUAGCCUACCGGAUUCGACGCACCAGGUUGAAAUCACUUUGUUAUAGUUUUAUUUCCUCUUGUUAUCAGUUUGGAGGAAGUUGGGAAUUUGUGAGGCAUGUUGGUGUUGAAUGCAUUGGAUUGGUAUGGCAUUGCUAUUCCAAGACAACUUGGUGGAUGGAGAUGGCAAGAAGGAGAACUUGAAGAUCUGAAGGAAAUAGGCCAAUGGUUAAUAUUUAAUGGUUAAUAGGUUUCAUGUUAUGUAUCUUCUCACCGUGUAGCUUGAACGUGGUUUGGAUUCAAGCUUAGAAUUGUAAUUUGUUGGCUUUAUGAUGUAUAGACUAUUUUUGGAUCAUAUUGUAAGCUUGGAAAGUUGUAAUUGUUGUAACAUAAUUAUAUGGUUUAUGGAAAUGAAUAGUUUGAAAUUGAA